ACGCCGGUAGCUCAGCUGGUAGAGUAGUAGGACGGUACCCCACGGUCUCGGGUUCAAGCCCCAACCGACGCU